GACGAACGCUGGCGGCGUGCUUAACACAUGCAAGUCGAACGGUGAAGCGCCUUCCUUUUUGGUGGGUGUGGAUGAGUGGCGAACGGGUGAGUAACACGUGAGUAACCUGCCCCCUUCUUCUGGAUAACCGCAUGAAAGUGUGGCUAAUACGGGAUAUUCUGGGUCUGUCGCAUGAUGGGUCUGGGAAAGAUAUUGUUUCGGUGGGGGAUGGGCUCGCGGCCUAUCAGCUUGUUGGUGGGGUGAUGGCCUACUACGGCGGCGAUGCGUAGCCGGCCUGUGAGGGGGGUCGACGGUCAUACGGGGGCGGAGACGCGGCCACUCCUCCUGCGGGAGGCAGCAGGGGGUAAUAUGGCACAGUGGGAGGAAGGCUGAUGCAGCGACGCCGCGUGAGGGAUGGAGGCCGGCGGGUUGUGAACUUCUUUCGCCAGUGAAGCAGGCCUGCCUAGUGUGUGGGUGGGUUGACGGUAGCUGGAUAAGAAGCGCCGGCUAACUACGUG
rnacentral:rRNA from 1 species